rnacentral:rRNA from 1 species
UAUGUGAUCGUCUCUCGCAUAUCAAUAAGCGGAGGAAAAGAAACUAACAAGGAUUCCCCUAGUAACUGCGAGUGAAGCGGGAAAAGCUCAAAUUUAAAAUCUGGCAGUCUUUGAUUGUCCGAGUUGUAAUCUAGAGAAGCAUUAUCCGCGCUGGACCGUGUACAAGUCUCCUGGAAUGGAGCGUCAUAGAGGGUGAGAAUCCCGUCUUUGACACGGACUGCCAGGGCUUUGUGAUGUGCUCUCAAAGAGUCGAGUUGUUUGGGAAUGCAGCUCAAAAUGGGUGGUAAAUUCCAUCUAAAGCUAAAUAUUGGCGAGAGACCGAUAGCGAGCAAGUACCGUGAGGGAAAGAUGAAAAGAACUUUGAAAAGAGAGUUAAACAGUACGUGAAAUUGUCAAAAGGGAAGCGUUUGACACCAGUGUUGUUUUUCUGAAAAUCAAUUAAAGAACUGUUUAUGCUAAGUUGUUUAGACUUUAUCAGCUAUCUGCUUAGUUUUGAGCUUUUCUUUAAUGCACUUUUCAGUUAACAAGUCAACAUCAAUUUCUUUUGCUGUAAAAAAGCUUGAGGAAGGUGGCUUGAGAUUCGUCUUAAGUGUUUAUAGCCUCUUGCCUAUGCAGUCGGAGAGAUUGAGGUCUGCAGCGUAGAUCCUUCGGGGCUAAAUGCAUUUGUGCUAAGUUAUAGCAUUUUAUAGACAACUUGUUGACUAUGAUUUGUCUUGUAGCUUACUCGCUUAUGUUAUUUUACCUACGCUUAGGAUGUUGAAGAUAUGCGCGACACG